CCACCAGGAACUACAGACAUCUCAAAACCCAGAAAAUAAUGCAAAGACCCAAGGUCUUUGAUCCUGAACUGAUCAUCCAGAAACAGCUUCAGGGCAGAAAGCUCAUCAUUGUCAUCCCCAGUACCAAGGUCUUUGAUCCUGAACUGAUCAUCCAGAAACAGCUUCAGGGCAGAAAGAUCAUCAUUGUCAUCCCCAUUGAUGAUAAUGUCAUCCACAUAGACUGCUACAAGAACCAGACAACCAGGCUGGCCUUUCAAACAGAGAAUAAUCAUUCAGAGAAUAAGUAUAGCGUCUGGAAUAAAGGGCAGAAGACAACUUAGCAUACCAUUGUCUGGAUGCCUGCCUCAACCCAUAGAGAGAUUUUUUCAACUUACAGACAAGAGGAGGAGAUGCAGAGGAAACAAAAUCAGAAGAAGAGACAGAAACAGAUUAACCUGGAGGAAGCUUCAUAUAAACCUCCUCAUCCAAAUCACCAUGCAAGAAAGCAUUGUUAACAUCAAGUUGGAAAAGUUUCCAAUGCUUCUUACAGAAACAGAUAAACCUGGAGGAAGCUUCAUAUAAACCUCCUCAUCCAAAUCACCAUGCAAGAAAUCAUUGUUAACAUCAAGUUGGAAAAGAUUCCAAUGCUUCUUAACAGCCACUGCAAUAAGACACUUAACAACAGACAUUUUAAUCACAGGAGAGAAAGUGUCAGUGAAAUCAAU
rnacentral:lncRNA from 1 species